rnacentral:rRNA from 1 species
AUUGAACGCUGGCGGCAGGCCUAACACAUGCAAGUCGAGCGAGUGGCGGACGGGUGAAUAAUGUCUGGGAAACUGCCUGAUGGAGGGGGAUCACUACUGGAAACGGUAGCUAAUACCGCAUACCAUGAGGUGUGCCCAUAUGGGAUUAGCUUGUGGGUGGGGGAACGGCUCUCCGAGGCGACGAUCCCUAUCUGGUCUGAGAGGAUGACCAGCCACACUGGAACUGAGACACGGUCCAGACUCCUACGGGAGGCAGCAGUGGGGAAUAUUGCACAAUGGGCGCAAGCCUGAUGCAGCCAUGCCGCGUGUAUGAAGAAGGCCUUCGGGUUGUAAAGUACUUUCAGCGGGGAGGCGUUACCCGCAGAAGAAGCACCGGCUAACUCCGUGCCAGCCGCCGCGGUAAUAC